rnacentral:misc_RNA from 1 species
CGGAUUGUCGAAUCCUAGACGAAAACCCGCGAACGCGUUCGAAAAUCCGCGUCGGGCGUCCGGGUAAAAUCGGCGCCCCUCGCCCCACGCCCGGCCGGACGGGGCACCUAGACCGGCCGACCGGGCGACCGAAACAAAAAUCGGCGCGGGAAGCGCCAAGGACUCACGAAAUGGGAUGCCUUCCCGGGAGAGGGCCGUUCGCGGAAUCCUCGCCUCGGGGCUCCGAAGGCCCCGAAACGAAAUAUCACACGACUCUCGGCAACGGAUAUCUUGGCUCUCGCAUCGAUGAAGAACGUAGCAAACUGCG